ensembl:lncRNA
GAAGCACCAGCGCAUGUGUCAAAAAAAAGACAACACAGUGUUUCAGAAGCACUGCAUCGACUGUAGUCAUAGAAAUCAAUAUUAGACCACCUUUGUUUUUUUCAAUUUCUUCUUGCCUGGCACCACUGAAGCGCGUGGAAGCAGGGACCUGACAGCACAACGACACUCCCAAGAACUGUGGAAAGUGGGCAACAAUAAUGGAGCAGUUCACUUCAACUUGGAGAUUCAAACUGCCCUUCAUACUUUUGGCCACCAGAUGCCACCAAAGAGGACUGUGUUGAGGAGCUUCCAGUAAUGAACCCUUUUUCGAUACAAGCUUCAGUGCUUCAGAAGGCUUCAGUUGGUCAUCACUUCCUAUCAGCUCAUCAUCCUGCUCCAUAUGAGCCUGGCUCAGACCAGGACAUGACUGUGGACCAUUGAAUGACUCUCAGGUAGUCAAACCCAGCUGCUCUUUGAAUUUUUGGCUCUGGUUUGUUCUUGCCACUAUUUGUGAUUCUCUUUGUCCAGUUGGUGACCACCCACCUGCUCUGCCAGCCCUCCAGAUCGCCACACAACUGCCAUCCAGCUUGGUUCUGCUGGAUCUUCGUUUCCAAAGCCACAGCUGGCCUGCACCAACUGAUUAUAACAUUCCAGCUGUAAUGCUGUGUCUGCCACGCUUCAUCCACAUUCAAACAAAUGUGUGCCAUUUGUUCCUCGCUUUAGACAAAAGCAUCUGACCAAUAUGUAGCUACCUAUAUGUAGUGGAACUAAAUCGAAUUUAAAUACAUUUGAAUGUGUAGAGUGUAUACUCAGAUGAGUUGUGUGAUGAAUGUUUUUGCUACAUCCAGCCUGUGAUGUGAUGAAGUGCUACUGUGUCUGUAUUGUUUCAGGUGGUGUACAUCACCGUAGAGGAUCUGCACAAAGCUGAAAUCAGCUAAGGCUGCUUCUCUCCAUUUACAUGUCCUUGUUCUGAGAAGUUACAGCCCACAGUUACUGACCAUUAGCCAAAGACUAGUAUGGAGUGGUGGGAAGAUCAGUUCUAGGUGUUCUGUUGAGUGUAAGCAGGUGUAGAGGUUUUUGAGUUUAAA